rnacentral:rRNA from 1 species
CGGUAGAGAGAAGCUUGCUUCUCUUGAGAGCGGCGGACGGGUGAGUAAAGCCUAGGAAUCUGCCUGGUAGUGGGGGAUAACGUUCGGAAACGGACGCUAAUACCGCAUACGUCCUACGGGAGAAAGCAGGGGACCUUCGGGCCUUGCGCUAUCAGAUGAGCCUAGGUCGGAUUAGCUAGUUGGUGAGGUAAUGGCUCACCAAGGCGACGAUCCGUAACUGGUCUGAGAGGAUGAUCAGUCACACUGGAACUGAGACACGGUCCAGACUCCUACGGGAGGCAGCAGUGGGGAAUAUUGGACAAUGGGCGAAAGCCUGAUCCAGCCAUGCCGCGUGUGUGAAGAAGGUCUUCGGAUUGU